CCUACGGGAGGCAGCAGUGGGGAAUUCUGCGCAAUGGGGGAAACCCUGACGCAGCAACGCCGCGUGAGUGAUGAAGGCCUUCGGGUCGUAAAGCUCUGUCAGAGGGGAAGAAAUGCAUGGUGCUAAUAUCACUUCUGUUUGACGGUACCCUCAAAGGAAGCACCGGCUAACUCCGUGCCAGCAGCCGCGGUAAU
rnacentral:rRNA from 1 species